rnacentral:rRNA from 1 species
UAGGGAAUCUUCGGCAAUGGACGAAAGUCUGACCGAGCAACGCCGCGUGAGUGAAGAAGGUUUUCGGAUCGUAAAACUCUGUUGUUAGAGAAGAACAAGGACGUUAGUAACUGAACGUCCCCUGACGGUAUCUAACCAGAAAGCCACGGCUAACUACGUGCCAGCAGCCGCGGUAAUACGUAGGUGGCAAGCGUUGUCCGGAUUUAUUGGGCGUAAAGCGAGCGCAGGCGGUUUCUUAAGUCUGAUGUGAAAGCCCCCGGCUCAACCGGGGAGGGUCAUUGGAAACUGAGAGACUUGAGUGCAGAAGAGGAGAGUGGAAUUCCAUGUGUAGCGGUGAAAUGCAUAGAUAUAUGGAGGAACACCAGUGGCGAAGGCGGCUCUCUGGUCUGUAACUGACGCUGAGGCUCGAAAGCGUGGGGAGCAAACAGG